rnacentral:rRNA from 1 species
ACGUAGGAGGCGAGCGUUAUCCGGAUUUACUGGGUGUAAAGCGCGUGCAGGCGGUUCUGCAAGUUGGACGUGAAAGCGCCCGGCUCAACCGGGCGAGGACGUACCGAACUGCGGGACUAGAGGCAGGCAGAGGCGUGUGGAAUUCCGGGUGUAGUGGUGAAAUGCGUAGAGAUCCGGAGGAACACCAGUGGCGAAGGCGGCACCCUGGUCCAAGACUGACGCUAAGACGCGAAAGCAUGGGGAGCGAACGG